rnacentral:rRNA from 1 species
UACGGAGGAUGCAAGCGUUAUCCGGAAUGAUUGGGCGUAAAGCGUCCGCAGGUGGCUAUGUAAGUCUGCUGUUAAAGAGUGAGGCUCAACCUCAUAAAAGCGGUGGAAACUACAUGGCUAGAGUGCGUUCGGGGCAGAGGGAAUUCCUGGUGUAGCGGUGAAAUGCGUAGAGAUCAGGAAGAACACCGGUGGCGAAAGCGCUCUGCUAGGCCGCAACUGACACUCAUGGACGAAAGCUAGGGGAGCGAAUGGG